rnacentral:rRNA from 1 species
AGCGAACGCUGGCGGCAGGCUUAACACAUGCAAGUCGAGCGGGCACUUUCGGGUGUCAGCGGCGGACGGGUGAGUAACGCGUGGGAACGUGCCCUCUGGUUCGGAAUAACUCAGGGAAACUUGAGCUAAUACCGGAUACGCCCUUUUGGGGAAAGGCUUGCUGCCGGAGGAUCGGCCCGCGUCUGAUUAGCUAGUUGAUGAGGUAACGGCUCACCAAGGCGACGAUCAGUAGCUGGUCUGAGAGGAUGAUCAGCCACACUGGGACUGAGACACGGCCCAGACUCCUACGGGAGGCAGCAGUGGGGAAUAUUGGACAAUGGGCGCAAGCCUGAUCCAGCCAUGCCGCGUGAGUGAGGAAGGCCUUAGGGUUGUAAAGCUCUUUUAUCCGGGACGAUAAUGACGGUACCGGAGGAAUAAGCCCCGGCUAACUUCGUGC